UUUAAGCAGGCAAUAAGAAAAAUGGUAGAAGUUGGUGAUGGUAUUUUCCAAUAGAUAAACUACAGGUAGGACGAUAAAACCGGCCAUUAUAAUUGAGACAGGUAGGAAUCGUCACUAUAAAAUGAUGUUGGCGAAAGUGAAAUGAGUCAGUAUACAAAGAAUUUUCAGUCAACAAAUACGUUAUUGAAUUUUUAAAUAAAAUAAAUAGAUUUAAAGAGAAAUGCAAAAACACACCAUGGCCAAUGCAAAAUUUGUAAGCGCCACUGACUAUGACAAAUCGCUCGAUCCCUACAAGAUGACAAGCUUAAAUAAUGCCAUGUCUAACAUUAAUUUAUCGAAUGCCACAAGUUGUGGAUUUUUACAAGAUAACAAAGUCAAUUUUGAUUUGAGUAAUUACGAAGUUAUGGAAGAGGAUGAUAAUGACGAUGUUGCUGAUUUUGAUGGCGGCGAUGAAAUCGAUUUGAACAAAACUUAUUCCUCAAAAACUAUGACCAAACAACAAAUGACAUUGGUAAAUGUUGCCCUAGGGGACUCCGAAUUAUAACAUUAAUAAUUUAAAUAUCUUCAUACAUACAAUAUAUUUAUACAUACUUUAAUUUAUAUUAUUAUCAUAAUAAAAACGUCAGAAAUGACAUUAAAUAUUUAAAA